UUCUGCAAUUAUCUAACUAAAGAACGUUUUUUUGUGAAAGUUUGGAAUUGCUCGUAUCAUCAUUACUUGUGAUGAAACAACAAAGGAAGCCAAGAAUACCCUGGAGUUACUUCAUGGAAUUUCAUAUACAGUUGGUUUUCACACAUCCCAAUUCGACCUUACUCGAGAUAUAGUCAGAAUGAUACAAUAUGUCAGAUACUGCCCAGUCAAAUUCACAGGAGCCAACUUUUUCAAAAUAAGAAAGUUAACAAUAUUACAUAUGAUCAGUAUAAUCGUCACAUACUUGGUGGUAGUUAUGCAAUUCAAUGAUAUGGCACUGGAUUGAAUUGUGAAAUAUUAUUCUUUAUAGAUCCUGCUGAAUAAUUUGGAAUAAUCCCGCACAUCCUAGGAAUAUUAUCUUGGGACAUGCACUUGGCAGAAUACCACUAUUAUCUCUAUGUAUCGCAAAUCGCACUUCAUUUGGCGAGGAAACGCAAAACAACACAUCUUUUGUUGAAAUGAGAAAUCAAAACCCAUCUGAAAUACACAG